rnacentral:rRNA from 1 species
UGGGGAAUUUUGGACAAUGGGCGCAAGCCUGAUCCAGCCAUGCCGCGUGCAGGAAGAAGGCCUUCGGGUUGUAAACUGCUUUUGUCAGGGAAGAAAUCCUUUGGGCUAAUACCCCGGAGGGAUGACGGUACCUGAAGAAUAAGCACCGGCUAACUACGUGCCAGCAGCCGCGGUAAUACGUAGGGUGCGAGCGUUAAUCGGAAUUACUGGGCGUAAAGCGUGCGCAGGCGGCUUUGCAAGACAGAUGUGAAAUCCCCGGGCUCAACCUGGGAACUGCAUUUGUGACUGCAAGGCUAGAGUGCGGCAGAGGGAGAUGGAAUUCCGCGUGUAGCAGUGAAAUGCGUAGAUAUGCGGAGGAACACCGAUGGCGAAGGCAAUCUCCUGGGCCUGCACUGACGCUCAUGCACGAAAGCGUGGGGAGCAAACAGGAUUAAUACCCUGGUAGUCCACGCCCUAAAACGAUGUCAACUGGGUUGUUGGACGGCUUGCUGUUCAGUAACGAAGCUAACGCGUGAAGUUGACCGCCUGGGGAGUANGGCCC